rnacentral:rRNA from 1 species
UGCUGNGAAAGGCUGGGGCUUAACCCUGGUUUUGCAGNGGGUACGGGCUAACUAGAGUGCAGUAGGGGAGACUGGAAUUCCUGGUGUAGCGGUGGAAUGCGCAGAUAUCAGGAGGAACACCGAUGGCGAAGGCAGGUCUCUGGGCUGUAACUGACGCUGAGAAGCGAAAGCAUGGGGAGCGAACAGGAUUAGAUACCCUGGUAGUCCAUGCCGUAAACGUUGGGCACUAGGUGUGGGGGACAUUCCACGUUUUCCGCGCCGUAGCUAACGCAUUAAGUGCCCCGCCUGGGGAGUACGGCCGCAAGGCUAAAACUCAAAGAAAUUGACGGGGGCCCGCACAAGCGGCGGAGCAUGCGGAUUAAUCCGAUGCAACGCGAAGAACCUUACCAAGGCUUGACAUAUACUGGACUGCGUCAGAGAUGGCGUUUCCCUUCGGGGCUGGUAUACAGGUGGUGCAUGGUUGUCGUCAGCUCGUGUCGUGAGAUGUUGGGUUAAGUCCCGCAACGAGCGCAACCCUCGUUCUAUGUUGCCAGCACGUGAUGGUGGGGACUCAUAGGAGACUGCCGGGGUCAACUCGGAGGAGGGUGGGGAUGACGUCAAAUCAUCAUGCCCCUUAUGUCUUGGGCUUCACGCAUGCUACAAUGGCCGGUACAGAGGGUUGCGAUACUGUGAGGUGGAGCUAAUCCCUAAAAGCCGGUCUCAGUUCGGAUUGGGGUCUGCAACUCGACCCCAUGAAGUCGGAGACGCUAGUAAUCGCAGAUCAGCAACGCUGCGGUGAAUACGUUCCCGGGCCUUGUACACACCGCCCGUCAAGUCACGAAAGUUGGUAACACCCGAAGCCGGU